rnacentral:rRNA from 1 species
CCUACGGGAGGCAGCAGUAGGGAAUCUUCCACAAUGGGCGAAAGCCUGAUGGAGCAACGCCGCGUGGGUGAAGAAGGUCUUCGGAUCGUAAAACCCUGUUGUUAGAGAAGAAAGUGCGUGAGAGUAACUGUUCACGUUUCGACGGUAUCUAACCAGAAAGCCACGGCUAACUACGUGCCAGCAGCCGCGGUAAUACGUAGGUGGCAAGCGUUGUCCGGAUUUGUUGGGCGUAAAGGGAACGCAGGCGGUCUUUUAAGUCUGAUGUGAAAGCCUUCGGCUUAACCGGAGUAGUGCAUUGGAAACGGGGAGACUUGAGUGCAGAAGAGGAGGGUGGAACUCCAUGUGUAGCGGUGAAAUGCGUAGAUAUAUGGAAGAACACCGGUGGCGAAGGCGGCUUACUGGACCGUAACUGACGUUGAGGCUCGAAAGCGUGGGGAGCAAACAGGAUUAGAUACCCUGGUAGUC